ACAACUGUUAAUGACACCACUUACGAAGCCGAUUACGAUCAAGCUGGGCCUUCGACAUUUUACCGAAGUACCAACUGGGCAUUUAGCAGCACCGGAAUUUUUCUAAGCGAUGACCGCCCCGACGACAUCUUAGUUUUGAACAAUGGACAAGUUUCUGUGGAUGGUGAUGAAGAAGAACUCUACACAAAUGCAAGGCUUGCGCCUAGCUCUUUGACUUACUAUGCAUUUUGUCUCGCCAAUGCAACUUACACAGUAAACCUCCAUUUUGCUGAGAUUCAGUUCACUGAUGAUCAAACUUAUAGCAGUUUGGGGAGACGAAUAUUUGAUGUUUACAUUCAGGUAUAUUUUAAUAUCUUGUUAGUAUGUUAUCCUGAUUCGGAUGAGUGUCGAAUUUUAUAUAUAUACACAAAUAUUGCUUUACAACAUGUUCUUGCAUGUAAAGUAGAGUUAAAUGGAUAAAAAUUGCAGGGAAAGCAGGAGCUGAAGGAUUUCAAUAUUGAAGAAGAAGCUGGAGGGGCAGGCAUACCAAUAGUAAAAAAAUUUACUGUAAAUGUAUCCGAUGGCACUUUGGAGAUCCAUUUCCGGUGGGCCGGGAAAGGGACAACUUCUAUGCCGGAGAGAAGCAUCUAUGGUCCUCUUAUCUCAGCAAUAUCUGUUUUGGAUCCUGGUAGGUUUUCAACUUCCAUUGACUCUUUCUGUCUCCAAUUAAUCUCAUUGAUUGCUCCAAAAUUUCUUUUACCGUUUUCUCUUCCCCUAGAACUUUGAUUGCUCCAAAAUUCAAGUGAUUCAGUCUCGUAUGCUAACAUCAUGGUUCAUACUCCAUGCUGGCCCUCAAGCACUUUGUUUCAAUUGACUUGAUAUCCAACAUAAACAUCAAAUCAUUUGAGAUGAGUACCUUGCAAUCAAAGCUAGAACUCUAAACUUUUAACUAAAAAAAGAAUUUUUCAUGUGAAAUUUCGUACCGUUAUUUAAGGAUUAUGUUGUUUUAUAGCUUAAGAAUGUAAUUAACAUCGAUAAUAAGACUAUGGAUACUCUCUUUCAAAAAAAUUAGAAUGGUGCUCAAAUAAAACAUUACCUCUUAACAUUUCUUCAAGUUCUACAAAGGUCUUCUUUUUUAACCACACAUGGUUGCUCACUUCAUUGUUAAGAUACCAAAUGUUUUCAUCUUCAAUUUCUUCAUUUUUGAGUGCUGAAAACAAAGUUGGUUCCUCCACGUCUUGCUUAUCUUUAAUGAGAUUGACAUUUUCUUCAUUUUCAUUAGUAUCAUUUUGGCACUCUUAAGAAAAGUGACCAAAUUUAUAAUAGCGGUAGCAUUUAACAUUGUACUUGACGUACUUCAUUUUGCUUAAUCUCAAGUAAAUUUGUCUUGCUCUUUCACAAUUUCUACUUGAUGGAUUACCGCUAUCAUUGUUGCAAUUACUAUGAUCACCUCUUCCACAUCUUCCUUGGCCAAAGCCGUGUCCUCUUCCUCUUUCUAAUCCUCAACGUCAACUUUUUUAUUAUUUUCUUCUUGUUUAUCUUUUAAAUAUAACUUGGUUUUUAAAACUUACUCCAAUGACUCAUCUUGUCUUCCAUUAAAUUUUUAUUCUUGAUCUCGUAACUCAACUAUUACUUGUUCAACUGUCAAGCAGUCUAAAUAUUGACUCAAUGACACAAAGACCAUAAUCAAACUUUGAAAUCAAGGAAAGAAGAAUCUUUACAGUCAUAAUUAUCUUACAAUGCUUCUCUAUAUCUCUUUAUUUGAUUCACAAUAGCCAACAUCCUUCAAUAAUAAUCCAAUUUCCUUUUCAAAUUACUUCGUUCACAAGAUUUCAAAUUCAUCUUGUAACACUUAGAGCCGCACCUUCUUCACUUUGGCAACUCGUUGAAAACAACUGUGCAAAAUUUUCCAAGCUUCUUUUGUAGUAAUGGCAUUAAUCACUUUCGCAAACAUCAAUUCUUCUAAACAUUAGUGGAUGAGGUUGAAGACUUGUUGAUCCUUCUUUCUUGUCUUUACCAAAACAUCUUUCUCAUUUUACAAUAAUGAUACGUUAUUUUGUGGAGAAUCAUAACCGUAUCUCAUUAGACUGGAUAAGAUAAACCAAAUAAUUAAAAACAUAUAAAUACAUGUAAGUAAAUUUGCAAACAUAAUCUAGAAAUUUAAAUUACAUAUCCAACCAUGGACAGAUCUACACCUCUUUUCUUUUUUUGAUAUCUUAAUAACACUUGUAUAUAAUGAUUUGAACCAAGAUUUUCAUGUCAUCUUUGUAUCUGACUUAUAUGUAUAAUUUUUAAACCAGGUUAUAAACCUCCAUCAAAAAGUGGUGGUCGUAUCUCGACAGCUACAAUGGCUGGUAUCGUUGCUGGAGCAACGUCUGCUACUUUGUUGAUUGUAGGCAUCUUUUGGUGGAAUUGCUGUUAUAAAUUAGAUGAUGAAGUAUCUGGUGUUCUCUUUGGCGAUGAAUUCCAAAAUGGAAUGGAACUUAGGAAGUUUUCCUUGGUACAAAUAGCUAAAAUGACCAAUAAUUUCAACGGUGAAAAACUAGGAAAAGGAGGGUUUGGUGUAGUUUAUAAAGGGUACUUAAGGGACUCGGAUACUUAUGUUGCUGUUAAACGGAUUUCAAAGGCCUCUAAGCAAGGAAUUAAGGAAUAUGCAUCUGAAGUGAAGAUUAUUAGCCAAUUAAGGCACAAGAAUCUUGUGAAGCUUAUUGGUCAGUGUCAUGAAAAAGGAGAACUUAUACUUGUUUAUGAGUUAAUGGCUAAUAGCAGCCUAGAUUCCUAUCUUUUUAAAGGUAAGACCUUAUUGACCUGGGAAGUGAGAUUUAAAAUUGUGCAGGACCUGGCAUCAGCACUAUUCUAUCUUCAUGAAGAAGGUGACCAUUGUGUACUACACAGAGAUAUCAAAGCGAGCAACAUUAUGUUAGAUUCUAGUUUCAAUGCUAAACUUGGGGAUUUCGGGCUUGCUAGGCUAGUGGAUCAUGAAAAAGCGUCACAAACCACCCAUUUAGCUGGGACUUUGGGCUAUUUGGCACCUGAAUGUGUUUCAUCGGGAAAAGCUAGUAAGGAAUCGGAUGUCUACAGCUUUGGAGUUGUGGCAUUGGAGAUUGCAUGCGGUAGAAGAUCAAUAGAGUCCAAAUAUGAAGAAUCUCAAGUUCCAUUGGUAGCUUGGGUGUGGGAUUCAUAUGGAAGCCAACGGUUGCUUGAUGUGGCUGACCCAAAAUUAAGUAUGAACUUUGAUGCGAAACAAAUGGAAUGCUUGUUAAUGAUUGGAUUGUGGUGCGUCCAUCCAGACCAGCAUUUUAGACCGUCGAUAAGGCAAACAAUUCAGGUUCUUAAUUUUGAAGCACCAUGGCCGAAGCUUCCAAGUACGAGGCCAACUGCUACAUAUAAUGCACAAAUCACUUCAGAAAUUCAAACAAGUGAGCCAUGUUUUUCUGAUAUGAGUAUUAUGGUCCCGCGUUAGAUAUACAUAAUAUUCAAAUUGAUUGUCUAUUGACAAUAAUAUAUAUAUUAAUACAUAUUUAAUGAUUAAAUGCUUCAAAUAUAUGAAAUAAAUAGUUUAAAUUUACACAACAAUGGACAAUGAGCUACAAUAUGGCCGAAUAUUUGCUUGGCCGAACGAACAAAAAUACCCAAAAGGCAGACCCAAUCCGCCAUAUUUUUGUCAUUAAAAAUAAAAAGAAAUUAAGAAAGGGCAUAUUUGAGUGUUGGGCAAUUAAUUGAGUCAUAUUUUCAUGGGUUGUAUAAAAAACUUUUGAGUCGGAUACUAUGGCUUUAGGAUAUAGAUAUAUUAUGUAAAUUAUAAAAUUUUUGGGUCCAAUCGAAUUAUUAUUAUUUCUCCAAAGCCCGAAUUGAAUACAAAGAUGGGAUUCUUUAUAUAAUACAUACAGAUCUUAGAAAAAUUAAAAAAGUAAAAAGUAUACGAAUCCUAAAAAUUAUAGGCUACCACUACCACCACUUCAACAUCCGUGGUAACCGUGGCCGGGGCAAGGACAACAAAUAAUAUGCUCUGAUGAAGAGUCGCCACCACCACACAUGGAUGCACCUCCAACGUCACUAAUAUCGUUUAAUUAUUAAAAUAUUUUAAAAUAUAUUGUUUAAUUAUCUGUGGUAAGCUGCCAAAGAGUUUGCUUCUUUACCUUUUUGCAAAUCUUUGCUGAACUCUCUUGGUAAUCCUAAUUAACCACCAUGGUUUUCCAGUUGUGAGUACAAUGUAUCCCAAGCUUACUCCCAGCACCAACCCACAUCCGUAUCCCAUCAGUAUAGAAAAUCUCCAAUUCAGUUCAUCGUCAUCUCCAUCAAAUUUGGCUGGAAUUUUCUAAUCAUUAUCUCAUCUGUUUGGUAAUGGCAGCCCGCAAAAACCCAAGUUUCCUAUGUAGGAAUCAUUAGUGAAAGUAUUAAUUUGUUUUCCUUGAGGAAGGGGUCCUGUUAUAUUAUUUUGAGAAAGGUUUAACACCACUAAGAAUCCAAGAUUCGUUAAUUCCAUUGGAAUUCUUCCUUGGAACAUGUUUGAUGAGAGAUCUAAUGAUUCAAGCUCUAGCAAAUCACCUAAUGAUGAUGGGAUAGGACCUGUUAAACUAUUAUGAGAAAGGUUUAGGACAAUAAGUGAAUGAAGUUCACCAAGUGCUUUAGGAAUUUCUCCCAAGAAUUUAUUAUUCAAAAAGUCAAUUACCAUCCAGCUGGGUAAUAGUGAUUCAAACUCCAUUCCCAACCCUUUAGCUACAAAAGAUAAACCUUGCACAUCAUAAUACCACAUUCCAUUAGCCAUUGCAUUUAUCAUGUCUUCUGGUUCACCUUUCUUGUCAUACUCUUUUCUAAUGGCAUGCAAAUUCUCAAAAAAAAAAAAACUUGAUAGGUAAGUAGCAACUAAAAUUAUUAUGAGAAAAAUCAAUGACAUCCAACUUUUUCUGAUGAGUCACUCAUCUUUGUGUAUUGUGGUGGAGCAAUUGGAACAUAUACACACAUACAAAAAUUCAAAGAUGAGAAAUAUUUAGCUCUUGAUCAAAAAUCAAUUGUAAUGUGGGGUAUUUAUAACACGUAAAUCAACAUAAUCUCAUGUUGAAAUAGAAAGUUUAAUUCUCUUAAGUAAUAGUUUAGACAUAAAUCAAAGGUAUUUAAUCAAUAAUUUCUCUAAACCAUUAUGCGCAAACUUUUACAAAAGUUUUUCAAACUCAAUCAAUAAAAAAUUGAGAUAUGAACUCAUCAGUGUUAGUAAAAUGAAUUGUCUUAAUUGCAUUAUCUAAAACUAAUUGUUUAAACAAGCAAUCUUCCAAACAAUAGGUUGCAAAUUGAUAACACAUAUGUGAUUAUUUUGUAGAUGCAUCUACCAAAAUCAUAUAAUAUCAAAACCAUCCAUAUGGUGGAUGACUGGGCUAAUAUUCAUUUUAGAAAUGCAAAAUAUUGAAUCUCAGCUUUAGCUAGUGAGUUUGUAAUAAUCAAUUAUCAUUGAGAACAAGCAACACAUGAGAAUUUUUUAAAUUAAAGAAUCUUAUGAUUCUUUAAAUCUCAAUUAAUUUUCACAUCAUAUAUAAUCCAAGAUGGUUUAACUAGUCACGCCAAAUAGUAAAUGUCAAUAUAAAUUUUGACAAUUUAUAAUUUCAUCAUCAUUUUCUUUUAUUUUGUAUCGACAUAUAAACAAUAUUGUGAUAUUUACUUCAAGAAAUGUCUACAUUAAUGUGAAGUCCAUAAUGUUAUUAACUCACUAAAAUAAAUAUAAUUUGCAAUAUAUUCAGGUAAUAUGCCAAAAUCUUCAAAUGUUCAAAUUAACAUUAAUAAUCAAAAGAAAUUAUACAAUUUGUUAUAUUUAUUGCAAUCAUUCACUUCAAGGGAUGUGCAAAAAUCAGUGGAACAAAUAAUUUAUUAUUUUGUUUGACCUUAAAAAGGCAUUAGAUCAAUCCAAAAAUACUUUUAAAACCAUUUUCGCAAGAGUUUUUCAUUAUCAAUUAACUAGAAAGAAAUAACCAAAUCAUUCAUGGUGUUUAUUGCAAAUCAAAUGUACGGACAAAACUAACAUUUAAAAUAUCAAACUUGAUAUAAUGCUAGUGCCAACAAAAAAAAAAUCAUAAACCAUUGCAUACAUGUAUGAAAUUCACUUCAAAAUCAUACAUCCCAUGUUCACUAAAACUUUUCCAUUUAUAAUUGUUCAUAUAAUUUCUCUAAAUAAUUAACAAAUAUAAAGUGUAUGAAUUACCUUUAACAACUUUACAAAAAUAACAAGUUUCCCAAGGUUAUAUAGUAAGAAAAUAUAAGGCAUUUACAAAAUCAAAUCACACGAAUUGUUUUAAUGCUUCUUAUCAAACAACAAUUGGCUAAUACAAACAAUAUUCAUAUAAAUGCAAACGGUCAAAUUAAUAUAGUAAUUCUCAUUUAAGUUUGUGAAAAUGUUUUCAACCAAAAUAAUUCAAGAAUUAAAAAUGACAACAAUUAAAUUUGAAAUUCAAUAUUAGAACCAACCCAAAAAUCAAUUUAGACAUUCCUCAAAAAGUCUUUAAAACUACACAUGUAUGAGUAUUGAAAAAUUUCAAAUUGUAUAACCAAAAUAAUAAAAGACAUUAAAAGAACGUAAUCUAUAUUUAUAUUAAAUCAAAUCUGAACAAUCAUAAAUUUCAUAGCUUUAUCAACACAAAUUUACAUACUAUUAUAUUUUUAGCCAAAUACAUUAUUUAAUUAUAAAACUUACUAUAGCAAGAUAAAGAAGUCAAUUAAUAUUCAUUUUUAUGAACAAAUAAGAUGUUUUAAACCACAACCCAUGAAACCAAAACUUAAAUUAAAAUAAUCUCAAAUACUUAAACCAUAAAUCAAAUUGAUGUAAUAUCUAAAGAUGCUAUUAUUGAGAAUAAGUGUAAAGAUAGAGAUCUAAUGAAGUUUAUGUACCUUUCUUGUUCAACGAAGUCUUGAUGAUCUUAUUUCACAAUUUCAAUAGAUAGUGAUAUUAAAUCCUUCACCAUCAUUAAAUAAAAUAAACUUCCUGUAAAAACUUUGCAUCUUGCCAUCAAAGAUCUUGGAAAUCAUGGAGAAUAUAUUUGAUCGUCGAUAAAAGGAACUAUCACUUUGAGCAAGAUCGUGUUCAUAACGUGUUAUAAAAUAAAGAGACAUAGAGGGAAUAAAGAACAAAGAAAAUAUGAAAGCAAUAGAGGAUAUACUUCAUUGAUCAAAAGGGAUGAUUGCAAUAUUUUAUCAUAGUCUCUAUUUAUAGAUAUAAGAAGUAUAAAAGAGGUAGAGAUCUAAUUCAAAUAACUAUUAGAAUUUAAAGUACACCAAAACUUUGACGGUUUAUUUUCCUGCUUUUUGGUUUUGCUGCAUUGUUGGUUGGAUGUUGUCAGUCAUUGUAACACCCCUUAACCCUAAACCGUCACCAGAACAGGGUUACGGAGCAUUACCGGAUAUAUCGGAUAACUUAUAGCUAGUUCACAAAUAAAUAACAGAUAUAGCAUACUUGUAUUAAAUAUGUCAUAUUAGUUUCAUUUCAUACUACCAAAAUCAUUUCAUGAACUAUAUCAGUAUCUAUUUCUUGAACCGAUGGUUCAUACAUUUCAUUUCCAUAUCUCAAUUUAAUAUCUCAUUUCGAUUCAUAUUCAAGAUUAUUCAAUAAAAUUUAUAUUAUCAAAAUUAUUCAUUUACCCCUAUUAACUUGACUCGAACUUUGGCAGAUACACGGAUUCCAACCAACACACCAAUACGGCACAUAGUGCCUAAUACGGUACAUAGUACCUGAUCAGUAAUCAGUAACGGUAGCAGUAACAGUAACAGUAUUCAACACACAAAGUGCUGAAUCUGUAACAGUAACAGUAACAGUAUUCGACACACAAAGUAUCGAAUCAGUAACAGUAACAGUAGUCGGCACAUAAGUGCCUGAACAGUAAGCCGGCAAAAACCCGUACUCUUUCAUAUCCUAUGGCAUGCCAACUAUAUCCGACUCAACCCGACUAGUUAAUAGGGUGUUCAAAUCAUUUUUCUAUUUCAAAAUCAUUUUCGAUUCAAUCACAAUCCAGAUUCACUUCCCACUUUCUAAUCAAUAUACAAUUCAAUUCCAAUACAUAUUUCAGAUAUUCACAUAUAAUCAUAAUUUAAUCCACUUUUAUUCAAUUCAUAUUUUUAUUUUCAAUCUAUCAACAAAUAUAUUUCAUCAUACACUAUAUAAUUCAUGAAAUUAACAUUUAAUCGUUAAAUUUCAGCCAUAUGAACUUACAAUUUCAUUACCUUUCCACACUCAUUUCCAUUUCAAUGUAUAACUUAUAAAUUUAACGUGGCAUAAUCUAGCCACUACUUGGCCAAAGCCUAAGCAUGUACACCAAAUAUGUUAGCCAAAUACACAUAUAGCAUAAGCAUUAUAAGCAUGGAUGAGCACAACAUUUAUUCAUGUAUCACACUUACCAACAUGUGUUGAUUCAUAAACCAUUCAUGACAUUAUUUCAUGCCAAAUUAUAUACCGAAUAUACCAUAUACACAUACUAUGAAACUAUAUUUUCACACAUAAGCUUAGACCAUGACCAAUAAUGCACAAAUAUAAUCAUCAUUUCUAUUUCAUCAUUUAUCAAUUAUAAUCAAGUAUAUGACCAAUUAUACACAAAUCAUUCAUAUAUUUCCCAAUUUUCCUCCUCCUCAUCUCCAUUCCACAUCCUUAAUGUGUAUAACACACUUAAACUACAUUAAUUAUAAUUCCACUAUUCACUCACAUGUAUAUUCAAAGCUGUUUAUUCGGGUCAAAGUCACUAAAUUAUUUUCAUCCGGAGCUACAGAGCUCCAAAUUAAGAUCCGUUAAUUUUUCCUGAAACUAGACUCACAUAUCUUCUUGCCAUAAAAUUUCAGAAUUUUUGGUUCAACUAAAUAGUACAGUUUAUUCUUUAAAGUUUCCCCUGUUUUGCUGUCUAACAGUUCCGACCACUCUUCACUAAAAAUGAAUUGUCUAAUUGUACAAAUUCGGAUGAUGUUUCCGUUUGUUUCCUUUGAAAAUAGACUCAUCAAGGAUUCUAAGAAUAUAAAUUAUAACUCAUAAUUAUUUUUUUACAAUUUUUAACAAUUUUCCAAAGUCAGAACAGGGGAACCCGAAAUCAUUCUGACAUUAUCUCACAAAAUUUAAUAUAUCUCAUGAUUUAAAAUUCUAUUGCUUACACCGUUUCUUCUAUGAGAAACUAGACUCAAUAAGCUUUAAUUUCAUAUUUUAUUCACCCUCUAAUUCAAUUCCCACAAUUUUUGGUGAUUUUUAAAAGUUACACUACUGCUGCUGCCCAAAACUGCUUUAGUGUAAAAUGUUGAUUUCCAUUUUGCCCCCAAAUUUCAUAGUUUAUGCAAUUCGGUCCUUUCUCAAUUAACCCCUCAAUUAAUCUAAUUUUCUCAAUUAAUAAUUUACCUAGACAUUAUAAGUUAUUUCACAACUAUUGAAAUUCAGAAUUUUCACAUAUAACCCUAACUUCAAACUCUUUUACUAUUAGGUCCCAAACAUUUACUUUCUAUUCAUUUCUCUCAAUAAAACCAGUAUAUGAACAAUUUAAAGCUCUAAUUCCAUGCUAAAUCAUCAUAUACUUCCAGCAUGCAUUCAUAGCAACUUUCAACUUCUUUCAUAGAAUCAAAAACUAAUGAGUUCAACAAGUGGGCCUAGUUGUAAAAGUCACAAAAAUACAAAAACUUAAAGAAAUGAUCAAGAAUUGAACUUACUUGCAGUAAAAAUAUGGAGAACCAGCUUAAGGAAACCCUUCUAUGGUGUUUUAGCUGAUGAGAAUGCAGAAAAAUAAAGAGAAAUCUAGAUAAUUCCACUUUGGUCCUAACUUUAUUAAGUAAAUUUUACAAUAUUCCAAAUUUGCCCUUAAUUCUCCAGACUUUGUUGCUGAUUUCAUGCCCUUGCCGUCCAGCCCAAAUAGACUUUGGAUCUAUUUGCCUUUUAAGCCCUCUUCCUUUUAUCAUUUAAGCUAUUUAAUCAUUUCUCAAAAUUUUGCAUUUAUUACAACUUAGUCCUUUUUGUUCAAUUAAUUAUCGGAACUUUAAAAUUUAUUAACGAAACUUUAAUACUAACUUUUUAACACUCCAUAAAUAUUUAUAAAAAUAUUUAUGGAUCGGUUUAAAAUCUCCGAGGUCUCGAUACCAUGUUUUUUUAUUCUAAUUAUUUUAAUAUUUAUUUCUAGUGCACUAUUCACUAUUUCAAAAAUUUUCCUAACUUCACAUUUAACUUAUACUCACUAAAUUAAUAAUAUUUUCUACUCAUUUGUCGAAUUUAGUGAUCUCGAAUCACAGUUCCGACACCUCUAAAAACUCAGGCCAUUACAUUUUUCCUCGUCGGAGUUGUGGUCCAAAAAUCAUUGUUCCGACUAGACCCAAAAUCGAGUUGUUACAGUCGUUGUCUUGAGCCAUUCGCUCGGUUUUAAUGAAUAUCAGCUUUAUCUCAAAAAAAAAAGUACACCAAAACUUUAUCUUGAUCAUGAUGGACAUCCACUUAAUAAGAUGUUCAUAACAAUAAUUAAUUUUAAUUUUUAUAUAAAAAUAAUAUUUUAUACUUAAAAUAAUGAAAAUAUAUAUUUAAAAAACUACUUUCUAUUUUUACUUGAUAUUUUUAGAAAUAUUUAUAAAAUAUACUUUGAAAAUUUACCAAAUAUUAUUCAAACGUUCAUUUUAUUUAAAUAACUCUAAAAACAAAAAUCUAAUAUAAAAAAUAUAAAAACCAAACCAAUCCAAAUUAAAUUAAAUUAAAACAAAGCUGAUUUUAUUUAGACUGAUCACAUUCUUUGACACAAAUCCUACUCCUCAACGCCGUCUAUUCGGUGCAGCAAUUAAGUGGUGAAAACGGUGGGGAAACUCAUUGGUUUUGCGCUCCAUACGUCAAUAGCAAGACGUCUCUCGUUAUUUGUUGUCUUCUAAAAUUAUAUUUUUAGGGUAGAAAAACAUUUAUUUAAUCUUCCAAUGUCUCAAAAAUUAUUAUCAAAGGUUAAAAUAAUUUGUUUAUUUUAUUUAAUUCUCAAGUUUAAAAUCUAUGUUAUUAAUUAAAUAAAAAUUAUAUACCCUUUUUAAGUUUGGUAUGUGAUAAAAGUUUUUUAUUUCACAUAUAAAUCGCAUACAUCUUAAAGAAAUAAUAUUUCACAUGACAUUUAUAAUUACUCAUAAUUUUUUUAUUCAAAUUGAAUCUAUUAGGGAUGAAUUUAAAAUUAGUAUAAUAGUAAAUAAAUGUUCGGUGUAAUGAUAAAAUAUAUUAUAUUUUUUAAAAAAAUUUCAUAUUUAAAUUUUAAAAAUUACAUUAUUAGGAAAUAAAUAAUGAAUGCUAAAAAGAAUUAAUCUUAACAAAUCGUAAAACGUUGUGAAGAAUACUUUAAUUAUAAAAAGAAAACAAUGAAAGGGAAAUUGGUUAAUGUGGCCAAGUCAAGGUCUUUGCAUUGGCCAUAAAUGAAAACAUUUACUUGUGAAGAUAGGGAGUUGAGACUUUUGUAAGUCAAGGUCUUUGCAAUUUGCAAACGUAUUGAUUGGCUCAACCUAAACACGUGGGAGUGGAAGCAAUAGUUAUAUGCUCUUCAUUUGUUUUUUCUUCAAAAAGAAAAUCAAACUACAUUCUCACCAUGUUAAAAUUGAAUAUAAACUUACUUAGGGUGUGUAGUAAUUUUAAAUUUGUGAAGAUUUUUAAAAUGUUAGUAUCAAGGGGUGAAUCUGAAAUUUUUUGGAAGAGCCGUGAUUAAGUUAUAUAUUUUUAUGAGAGUUUAAAUGUAAUUUUUCUAAUGUUUUAGCAUAUAUCUUUAUAGUUUUAAGGCUACAUCAAAAUUUUAUCAAUUUUAAGGGUUAAACUAUAAUUUUCUUUAGGGGUGAAGCUAGAAUUUUUUUUAGGGGUAAAAUUAAAUUAUAAUUUUUACGAUAGUAAAAAUGUAAUUUCAUCAUUUGAAUAUCCUAUAUUUUUAUAAUUUUUAAAGGAUUAAAUCAAUUUUUUAUCAUUUUUAGGGGUGGCCAAAAUUUACCUUUACUAAUUUAAAAUUUUAAAAAUUCUAAAGGAUCUAAAUGAAAAUUAUUUCAUUUUUGGGGGGACCAGGACCCUUGUCAACCCCCUAAAUAUGCCCCUAAUUUUAUUAUGUAUUAAUUUAAACUUUAAUAAAUUUUGAGGGGCCUAAAGCAAAACUUUCCAAUUUUAGGCCCAAGCCUUUGCCUGCCCUUGAAUUUUAAACUUAUGAAUUGAAAAUAUUAGUAUUUGUAAUUAUUUUGUUUGUAUAAAUAACUUUUUUUAGAAAGAUUUAGAAUAUUGAAUUUUAUGAGUUAAAAUAUAAUUAUGAAAGAAAAUUAAUGAUAUUUUUUGAUAUAGUAUUUAGAACUAUUUAUAGUCUCUCCCCAAUCAUUAAAUAAAAGGAUAACGUACUUCAACGCACUCUAAUCCACAUUUUCCUACACUAGUAAUAAUGUCGAUACCGGUGGAGUUAAGACUCAAUCAACAAAAAAAUUUAAUGAUAUUAAAAAUAAAUAAUAUAAAAUUAUAAAAUUAGAUUUGUAAAAAUAUAUAAAUAUUAUAAAUAAUAUAAAAUAUAUUAAAUAAAUAAAUAAAAAUAACAUGUUGUAGAUGAGAAAAUUUGAAAGACUAACUUUUUCAUAUGAAAUUUGAAUAAAAAAAUUCGAAUUACUCAAAUCACCUUUUAAAAUUUCUUUUAAAUUUUAAAUUCUUAUUUUUAUCUAACCAAGUAAAUAUAUUUUUGAAACUUUUGAAAACCUUAGUAGAAACUAAAUUCUUCCUCUAAACCCCUUAUCCAAAUAUACUUCAAAUUAUACUCUUAGGGUUUAUAAUUUUACAUUCAAUAAAUAACAAAUUUUGUAUUAAAUAAAAGAUAAUUAUUUGAGGUAUUUGUGGCGAAAAUUUUUAACUAUACGAAUAGAUUGAGAAAUUAACACAUAUAUUUAAAUUAUAUUUAAAAAAUUUAAAUAAAUAAAUAAAAUAUGUGAUAAAUUUUUAAUACCACUUGUAAAGAUAAUCUGACACUUCUAUCACAUUUUUACAUUUCAACAAAUAAGUAACUUGAGUUAAAAACAAACUUUAAUUUAAAAUCAGUUUAAACAGGCUUUUAAGGAAAUUUGUUUAUAUUCUAAUUUCAACCUUUGUUAUGAAUUAACUUUUUUUUUUCUUAUAAUAUAUCAAAUAUUAAAAAAAUAAAUCAAGGAAAAUAUGAAUAAGUGGACCUAUUCAUAAACAUUUAGUUUUUUUUUGUUUUUAAUAAACAUUUUCGGCUUCAACGUAUAUGUAUGGGACCUCCCAUGCAAAAUAUUUUAACAACUUGCUAAUAUAUAAAUUAUUUUCAUUUGCAAAGGGUGAGUUUGGAUGGGUUGUGCGUUUACCUGUAGUUAGUAUAAUAACAGCAGUGGCGGUGAUAUUAAAUACUGUAGCGAUACUGUAACGUGAAACAAAAAGUAGACUAAACGCACCGCAUCCAAUCCCCCAUCCAAACUCACCAAAAAUCAUACAAAACAUCCAGUCACACUACAAUAAUUGAACAUUUCUCAUAUCUCAAACCAAAGUGUUCACUCUACCUCUCUUUUUCCAUUUUUCUCCAUAGGCGGCCAGAUAAUUUUCUUCGUCUUGCUUUUUGAUUCAUUUUCUAAGAAACUUCCCAAAAUUUCAUAGUCUAAUAUCUUUAUGAAAAACCCAAUCUUUCAAUCCAUUUUGUGUUCUUUCAAAUCAAGCAAAGAGGAGCUCUAGAAUCCCUCUCCAGAAAUCCUCCAACAUGUUCAUUCAUCGACUCCUUUUUGCUUCAAUAUUCAUAGUGUGUUGCCUCACAACGCUUACAAAUGGAGCUUCACUUCCAAAUGGUGAAGGUAAUUCAUAAUAUUACUCUACAAAGAAGCUUGAUUUGCUUAAUUAUUUUUUUUAAUAAAUUUCAGUACCCUUUUUCUUUUGUUAUAGUGGAAGCUUUGAGAAGUAUUGGUAACACAUUGGGGAAGACAGACUGGAACUUUAAUAUUAAUCCAUGCGAUCAAGGCGAUACUUGGUUGAACCAAUCCACACGUUAUUAUGCUAAUAAUGUUACUUGUGAUUGCUCCUUCAACAAUAACACCAUCUGUCAUGUGGUUCGCAUGUAAGUAUAUACAUAUUAUAAUGAAAAUUUAUCCAUCAUUGAGUUGUGACCAAACUUGAUACAUCUAUUCAUGGAUUAUAUAUAGUUUUAGAUCUCAUCUAAAGUUUACUAAAAGUGAGAGAGAGGCAUGAUACAACUAUGAGAUAGAGAUAUAUAAUAAUUUUGUCUUUGAAAUUGUCCAUUUGUACCUAGUUGGUCCUUAAAACUUUUUUGAACUUAGUUGAUCCCUGAACAUGUAUUUCAUCAAUCAGGUUAGUCCCUCUACACUAGUACCAUUAGUUUGUGCUACUGUGACAUUUUAGCCAAGGACGAAGCUAGAAAUUAUUUUAGGGAAGGCCAAAAUUAAAUGUUAAUUUUUAUGAUAGUAAAAAUGUAAUUUCACAAUUUGAAUAGUCUAUAUCUUUAUAAUUUUUAAAGAAUUAAAUUAAUUUUUUAUAAUUUUGUGGGGUUAAAGUGUAAUUUUACCUUUAUUAAUUUAAAAUUUAAAUAAUCUAAAGGGCUUAAAUGAAAAAUUUUCUAUUUUAGGGAGGUCAGGGCACGACCAACCUCCCUAACUAUGCCCCUAUUUCUAGCCAAUCUAGUAGUACCACGUAGUAACCUCUCAAACAUAAUUUAUAUUUCUUAGUUUAUGUUUAUCAUGUGACAAAAACUAUAAUAAUUAGACUACAAAUAUUCAAAUUAAAAAAAAUAAGAGGAUUAAAUUUUUAAGUUUUAAAAUAAAAAUAUUAAAUCUCAAAUUUUGUAGAAAUACAAGUACUAACUUCAUAUAAUUUGUUAAUAUGUUUUAGGGUUAAAGAGGUUGUGAGACUGUAUGUAUAAUUUUGGUUAGCAACCUCAAUUAAAUAUUUUGUCUUUGUUCAAGAUUUCCUUUUUUGAAUGGGUUAUGACGACUUUUGAAGUUUAAAAACAUAUAUAAAUGUUAAAUAAUUGCUUAAUUAAUUUAUUUAUAUAUUACAUAAAGCUUUUAAUUUUGGGGGGUCAAUAUAAAGCUGUCAAAUUAUGACUUACUUUAUCUUUGACUGUUGAUAAUAAAUUUAUGACAGCUACUUGCUUGCACAAUUUUAUCUAAUUCUCUUAAUAAAAGUCAAUAGGUUGUGAUGUGAUUAAUAAAUUAAUAACAACUAAUUCUAUAUAAUUACAAUUAAAAGAUAUUAUUAUUUAAUUUUUAAUACAAUAAAUGUCAAAUCAAAAUCCAUGAAAUGUGCUGACAGGAGUGGUAAGUGGAUGACAAUGUAGUACAAUUAAUUUAAGAGCCACUGUUUAGGGUGAGUUUGAAUGGGCAGUGCGUUUACCUGCGGUUAGUAUAAAAAUAGCGGUGAUGGUAAAAUUAGAUAUUAUAAUAAUACUGUAGUGUAAGAUAAAAAAUAGGUUAAACGCACCAUACCACAUUCAAUCUCCCAUCCAAACUCACUCGAAAUCGCCACCGCAUGUCGGUCCAACCUUUUGUUGGCCACCAACGUCUCUCUUUUGAAAAAUGCCUUAACAACAUACUAUCCAAUUUUAGCCUUUUACUUUAUUCUUAAUAUAUUUACACGAUACAUAUGUUAGCUUUUUUAGUCUACGACUAGUUUCAUGAUACUUGUUUAAAUUGGAUCAAAUAGAUUAAUUCAAUCCGUUAGAUUAUUGAUUUAGAUAUUUGUAUUAAAUUAAUUGACUCAAGAUUUAGUAUAUAUAGUUUGAAUUGUUUUUUUUUACUUUUUAUUUAUUUAAUUAAAUGGUUUGAAUUGAAUUGGCCGAAUUAAGAAAUUAACAACUUGACUAAAUUGAACGAUGAUUUAAUUUUAAAAAUCUUAAAUGUUACAGACGUAGCACAUGAUUUUAUGUAUUUAACAUUUUAUUUAAAUAAUAUAUUUAUACUUAUUGUAAUUGGUUUUUUAAUACAUUAAUUGAAAUGUUAAACAUAAUUAAUAUAUAUUAAUUUACUCAAUAAUUUAAAUAUAAUAAGAAAAAAUUUUCAAUUAUAAUUAAAACAUUUAUAUUAUAUUAAAAAUGAUAUAUUUUAAAUUGAAAAUUUUUAUAAUAAUAAAUUAAAAUUAAAAUAUUUGUAUUAUAUUUAUAUUCGAUAUACAAUAUAAUUUUAUUUCAUUAAUUAAUUCAAAAUAAUAUUAUUCAAAUAAUAACCAACAUAUAUAUAUAUACUUGCUUUUUUAUUCUAUGACUAAUAUAAAUGUUCUUUUAAUAGCUUAAUUUGAAAUUUACAUAUAAUAAUUAUUUAGAUAUUUCCUUUUUGCUUGAGAUCCAGGGAUAGAAGUAGCCAGGAUCUUCGCUCCAUUACUUAAAUAAAAAUAUUAUUUUUUUAAUCUCUUAGAAUUUAAAAAUUUUAUUUUAAAUAUUUUUAGUCCUUAUAAACUAAAUAAAAAAAUGCUUAAGAUUUUUUUUUAACUUUCAAAAGAAUCUCAAAUUUUUUUAUCUAAAAAUAUUUUAAUUUUUCAAAAUAUUUACUAAAACGAAUCUAAUAAUUAAUUCUCCGUAUUAUGUAGAUUCACGAUUUUAAACAAGAUUAAAAAGAUGGUUAAUGUUAAAAAAUUAUGACUUUUGAUUACCGGGUUUUUACCAAACACAUAUUGAUUCUGAAUGUGAAUUUUUUUAUUAUAGAUUUUAGCAACAGACCCCUAACUUAGUUUCUGUAUCAGAUUGCUUAAGUCACAAAAUCUCUCGGGGACUCUCCCACUAAACUUGACAAGUCUCCCUUUCUUGCAAGAAAUGUAAGCACAUUUCAAGUGUUCCUCUAUAAUGAUAUAUAUAAAUGAAGAUUAUUUGUUUUUCAGCAACUAUAUAUCUACUAAUUUGUUGUUUUAAAACUACUAUUACAGUGACCUAAAUCGCAACUAUCUUAGUGGCACCAUUCCCUCAGAAUGGGGUUCUGCUACCCGACUCGUCGGCAUGUAUGUUUUCUCCUACUUUCUCUUUCAUGGUUGUAUGUAUAUAUCUUUCAUGGUUUUGAAAUAAUUUCUCGUAACUACAAUAUGUACGCAUGUAUAUGUAAAUGUUGUUAAAUGCAAAUGAUGUGCUGUAUUUCAGUUCCCUUUUUGGAAAUCGAUUAACAGGCCCAAUCCCAGUAGAGCUAGCAAAUCUCAGAAAUCUUACCUCCUUGUGAGUUAGAUUAUAUCAAUUUCUUUUAUAUAAAUAAAUAUAUAAGAUGAUGAUAACUUUUUUUCAUCUUUUUAAUGAAUGUCUAAUGGUUAAUUAAUUUUAUUUAUUGAAAAAACAUUGUGUAGAAUCCUUGACAACAAUGGUCUUUCAGGAACUUUGCCUGCAGCACUAGGGAGUCUAUCCAAAAUUGAGCGAUUGUAAGAGAGAUUUUUUUUUUUCCUUUUUAAUUCUAGCUGGAUUUCAUUUCAUUAUAUGUGCAGUAUUUUUUAUCAUGUAAAUGAUUUAAGAUCUAUUUAUUGGUUUUUUCAGACAUCUUGGUUCCAACUAUUUUACUGGUAAAAUACCUGAAACCUUUGCUAGUCUGACUUCAUUGAAGGAAUUGUAAGCAAUUCUAUUUUCUAGUGUUCCUUUUAAUACAUAUCAUUCGAUAUUUUCAAUAUAUUUUAUAUGAUAUAGUUUUGAUAAUUUUGUAUUCUCAACAGUCGGAUUAGUGACAACAAUUUUACAGGACAAAUUCCUGACUUCAUAUUCCGAAAUUGGACAAAUCUUGAAGAGAUGUGAGAAUUUAAUUUAACAUUUUCUUUGUAUACUUUAAGUUUUUUUUUUAAUUCAUUAGAAUUUUUGUUUUAUCAAUCAAUUAAAUGAAUCUAUCAUUUUUGUAAUGACAGAUAUAUGGAGGGAAGUGGUUUGAGUGGACCAAUUCCAUCCAUUAAUGCUACUUUACUUAACUUAACAUACAUGUAAGCUCCUAUGAUCUUAAAAGAUGGUGACAAUAUUCGUUAUAUAAAAAUAAAGACAAUUUAAAUUCUUAUUUUUGUUUGUAUAUGACUCUUGAUAUUGUUGUACAGAAUAAUUAGUGACUUGAAUGGAGCUGAAACAAAUUUUACACAACCACUCAUCGAUGCCAGUUUGCCUAAAUUGGAUAGACUGUAAGCAUAAAUCUGAAAUAAGGCAAAGAUAUAUUAGAGUUAUGAGAUAUUAAGGAGUUCCAAAAACAAAAACAAUGGAAUUAUUUUGUGAUUGAAUUAUAGGAUGUUGAGGAGUUGCAAUCUCAUUGGAGAGAUACCUGCUUCUUUUGGGACAUUUACAUCCAUAAAGAUAUUGUAAGUAAUUACACUUUCUUUUGAGAGGUUCAAGUUCAGUUUGAUUGUAGACUUACGUGUGGUUUAAUACCUGUUUUACAAAUUUUCUUGUAGAGAUCUCAGCUUUAAUAGACUUAGUGGAAAAAUUCGAGAUGAGCUUUCUAAUCUUGAUUUCGAAUAUCUGUAAGGAUAUGGCUUUUAGUUGUAGUUUGUAAAUUGCAUUUUCUUUAUUUAUAUACUCAUUUGGAUUUUAUUAGGUUCUUAAAUGGAAACAAUUUUAAUGGAUCAGUCCCUCAAUGGAUACUCGAAACAAGAGAAAAAGUGUAAGAUUCUCUUUCUUAUUUAAAUGCUCAAUCCCAUUGAUUAUAGUUUGAUUAACCAAAAUCAAAAUUAUUGCACAAAGAUAGUUAAUUAUUAUUUAUUGAUUCUCCUACAUUAAUUAGUAGUCAAGGAUUUGAUCUUCUCACUGUGUAUGAAGUAGUUUUAUAACUCGUGUCCGACAUCUAUCUUCUUAGUGAACAUACAAAUAAAAAGGAUUAAUCAGUGACUUGCUCCGUAUUCUAAAUGCAGGGAUCUUUCUUAUAACAACUUCACAAACACAGGUGUAUCAGAUUGCCGACAAAAUAGCGUGUACGACAACUUCCUCAUCCAACUUCAUUACUGGAUCUUUCUUAUAAAAUAUCAAUCAUUUUUUUGUUAUAAUUUUUCCUCCAUUAUCGACCUGUAGGAACUUGUUCUCAAGCAUUGCAAGAGUCAAUAACACGUAAGUAUUAAGACAACAACAAUCAUUAAACUAAGUCUUUGUCUUUCAUCUAACUUUAUAAUUGUUUUAUCAGGGGAAUUGUUCCAUGUUUGACAAGCCAAAUUACCUGCCCAUCAGAACGUAAGUAUUUAUAUAUAUUUGAUGCACUAAUAAUAUAACUCAAUUAUUUUAUUCAAACUGUUGUUGAUUGUUAUUUUCCUCAGCUUUGCACUUUGUCCAUAUAAAUUGUGGAGGGAGAAAAAUAACUGUUAAUGGCAUCACUUACGAAGCCGAUUUCGGUCAAGCCGGGACUUCGACAUUUUACCGCAGUAUUACCAACUGGGCAUUUAGCAGCACCGGAACUUUUCUAAGCGAUGACCGCCCCGACGACGUCUUAGAUUUGGAAAGUAGACAACUUUCUAGCAAUGGUGGCAAUGAACUGUACACAGAUGCAAGGGUUUCGCCUAGUUCUUUGACUUACUACGCAUUUUGCCUUGCCAAUGCAACUUACAAUGUAAGCCUCCAUUUCGCCGAGAUUCAGUUCACUAAUGGUGAAACUUAUAGCAGCUUAGGGAGGCGGAUGUUCGAUAUUUACAUUCAGGUAUUUUUAAUAUCGUUCUUGCUAGAAUUUCUGUUUAUAUUAUUCUUUAGAUAUAUAUAUAUUACGUUAUCCGGAUUUAAACUGAGUGUCAAAUUUUUCGUAAGAGUAUGUUCCGUGUCUUUAAAAAAUUUAAAAUUUAAGCUAAAUGUUAAAACUAAGCUUUACGACUUGUGCUGCAUGGAAAGUGAAGUUCAAUGGAAUGGAUUAUAUUAAUUGCAGGGAGAGCGGGAGAAGCAAGAUUUCAAUAUUGUAGUAGCAGCAGGAGGGGCAGGCCUAUCAAGAGUAGAAAGAUUCAAUGCAAAUGUAACCGAUGGCACUUUGGAGAUUCAUUUCAGAUGGGCUGGAAAAGGGACGACUUCUUUGCCCGAGAGAAGCAUUUACGGUCCGCUAAUCUCAGGAAUCUCUAUUUUCAAUCCUGGUAGGUUUUCAACUUCCAUUGACUCUUAUUGUCUCCGAUUAAUCGCAUUUACCCGGACAUUUAGAGAACAAAAACUCUAUUCUUGAAUCUAUAUUAUUAUAAAGGGGCGGAUUGAAUUUGGUUAGAAUAAAAUAAAAUAACUUUCUUUAAUUCUGAAAAACAUAAGAAUAAAGGAUAUAACUAUUAUCAAGUAUAAUUUUUUUUAAUUAUAUAAGAUUAAGGGUGGAGAUGGAUUAAUAUAAUUUUUAGCUUCUGACAAGUAGGUUCAUUUUAUUUUUAUUUUUAUCCCCUUUAGUAUCUGAAUUUCACAACUAAAUCCCUUUUUUUAUCCAUAAAAAUUUGAUCAAUUGGCACUUUAUUUAAAAAGAAAAUUCAAGUGAUGACAUGACACAAUCUCAUAGUACCAUGUCAACAAACUUUUACACUUGCCAAAUUCAAAGAUAAAAAUGGACCUAUCUAUCAAUUUUAUAUACCAAAGUGAACAAAAUAAUACAAAUAUUAAAAUAGACUUCAUUGUCAAAUUGAAAGACUAAAAGUUAUAUUAACCCAUAUGUAAUUUAUAAAACUACCAAAUUCAAAUAUAGGUUCCUUAUUUUCUUUUGAGUUAAUAUGUAGUUUUCAGUAAAAGUACAAUAGAAGCCUAUGUAUUAGGAAUCAAAUUUUAUUUUGCUUUAUUUACUAAAAAGUAGAUAAGUUAGUUCUUGUACUUUAUAUCAAAGAGCAAAUUGGUCCUGUAUAUUAAAAUUUUUAUCUAUUUCUAUAGUUAAAAACUAGUCAACUAGCAUGGUUGACGAAAAAACUAACUUCUUAUUUUUAAAAAAAUUAUUUAUUUUUUGAAUUUUAUAUGAAGUGUAAAUGGACUACCACAUCAAUGCUAUUAAAAUUGUCGUGGUCCAAUCAAUUUUUUAUUCAAAAAAAUAAAAAUUUAACUAAAUUUUGAAUACUAAAAACCAAAAUGACAAAAAAGUAACUGCUAGUGCUAAAUUUAUCAUUAUUACUCUACAAAAAUCAUUGAAUUCUGUUGAAGUGAAUUUCUCCCCUUUAUCAAACCUCAAAGACUUAAUCACAUAGCCACUCUUCUUUUCCACAAAAGUUUUCAAAAAAAAAAAAAAUUUAAUGCAUCAAAUUUUUGCUUUAAGAAGUAAACUCAAGUUUUUCUAAAUAGCAAAAAAGCAUUUGUUUUUAGCAAAUGAUACAGCUGACUUUUUCCACACGCAUUGAUAUCAACAUGUUGAAGUGGCUUGACUGCCUUUAAUGUCACUUUUUAAGGAAAGUCCUUCUCUUGCGUUCUUGCUUCGAAGACAUGCCUCACACAAUUAAUUAGGAUAGUUAAUUUACAAAGUUCAAGUGACUAAGCCUUAUAUACUGACAUCAUGAUUCUUUCGAUUAUCUUCAAAUCCAACAUAAAUAUCACAUUAUUUGAGAUGAAUACUUUGCAAUCAAGUUAGAACCAUAAACUUUUAAUUAAAAACAAUUUUUCAUGUGAAAUUUCAAAUUAUUAUUUAAAAUUUUGUCUUAAACUCGAAAUAUUAUUUUAUAGCUUAAGACUAUCUUUUAAAAAUAAAUUAGAAUAUAUAUUUCCAUUGAAUUUCGACUUUCGAAAAGUUUACAAAUGAAACAUUGUCAGAAAAUGUUUUCAUCGUCAUUUUCUUCAUUUUUGAGUGUUCAAAACAAAGUUGGCUUAUCUUUAAUGAGAUUGAUGUUUUCUUCAUUUUUGAUAGUAUCAUUUUGGCAAAUUUAUAAUAAAAGUAACAUUUAACAUUAUACGAGAACACCUCAUUUUGUCUAAUCUCAAGUAAUUUUGUCUUUGCUCUUUCACAAUUUCUAGUUGAUGAGUUACCGCUAUCAUUGUUGCAAUUACUGUGAUCACCUCUUCCACAUCCUCCUUGGCCAAAGCCAUGUCCUCUUCCUCUUUCUCAUCCUCAACAUCAACUUAUUUAUGCUUUUCUUUUCAUUUAUCUUUUAAAUAUAAAUUGGUUUUGAAAACUUGCUCCAAUGACUCAUUUGCUCUUCCUUUAAACUUUUCUUAUUGAUCUUGUAACUCAGUCAUUACUUGGUCAACUGCCGUACAAUCUAAAUAUUUUGACUCAAUGACACAAAUAACGUAAUCAAAUUUUGGAAUCAAGGAAAGAAGAAUAUUUACGUUCAUAUUAUUAUCUUGCAAUGUUUCUUCAUAUCUCUUUAUUUGAUUCAUAAUAGCCAACAUCUUUAAAUAAUGAUUCAAUUUUUUUUUCAAAUUACUUCAUUCGCAAAAUACCAAGUUUAUUUUUCACUUUGUCAACUCCUUAAAAAGAACUUUACAAAACUUUCCAAGCUUCUUUUGUGGUAAUAGCAUUGAUCACUUUCACAAACAUCAAUUCUUCUAAACAUUAGUACUAGUGGACGAGGGUGAAACUUUGUUGAUCCUUCUUUAUUGUCUUUACCAAAGCAUCUUUCUCAUUUUACAAUAAUGAUAAAUUAUUUUGUGGAGGAUAAUAACCAUAUCUCGUGAGAUUGGAUAAGAUAAACCAAAUAAUUAAUUAAUAACAUAUGAACAAAUGUACUUAAAUUUGCAUACAUAAUCUAGAAAUUUAAAUUACAUAUCCAACCAAGGAUAGAACUACACCUCUUUCCUUUUUUCGAUAUCUUAAUAACACUUGUAUAUAAUGAUUUGAACCAAGAUUUUCACGUCGUCUUUGGAGCUGACUCUUAUAUGUAAAGUUUUUAAACCAGGUUAUAAACCUCCAUCAAAAAGCGGCAGUGGUCCUCUACCGAAAAAGGUUGAUCGUAUCUCGACAGCUGCAAUGGCUGGUAUCGUGGCCGGAGCAACGUUUGCUACUUUUUUGAUUGUAGGCAUCUUUUGGUGGAAUUGCUGUUAUAAAUUAGAUGAUGAAAUAUCUGAUGUUCUCUUUGGCGAUGAAUUCCAAAAUGGAAUGGAACUUCGGAAGUUUUCCUUGGUACAAAUAGCUAAAAUGACCAAUAAUUUCAAAGGUGAAAAACUAGGAGAAGGAGGGUUUGGUGUAGUUUAUAAAGGGUACUUGAGGGACUUGGAUACUUAUGUUGCUGUUAAAAGGAUUUCAAAGGCCUCUAAGCAAGGAAUUAAGGAAUAUGCAUCUGAAGUGAAGAUUAUUAGCCGAUCAAGGCACAAGAAUCUUGUGAAGCUUAUUGGUCAGUGUCAUGAAAAAGGAGAACUUAUACUUGUUUAUGAGUUUAUGGCUAAUGGCAGCCUAGAUUCCCAUCUUUUUAAAGGUAAAACCUUAUUGACUUGGGAAGUGAGAUUUAAAAUUGUGCAGGACCUGGCAUCAGCACUAUUCUAUCUACAUGAAGAAGGUGACCAUUGCGUACUACACAGAGAUAUCAAAGCGAGCAACAUUAUGUUAGAUUCUAGUUUCAAUGCUAAACUUGGGGAUUUCGGGCUUGCUAGGCUAGUGGAUCAUGCAAAAGCGUCACAAACCACCCAUUUAGCUGGGACUAUGGGCUAUUUGGCACCUGAAUGCGUUUCAUCGGGAAAGGCUAGCAAGGAAUCGGAUGUCUACAGUUUUGGAGUUGUGGCAUUGGAGAUUGCAUGUGGUAGAAGAUCAAUAGAGCCCAAAUAUGAAGAAUCUCAAGCUUCGUUGGUAGCCUGGGUGUGGAGUGCAUAUGGAAGCCAACGGUUGCCUGAUGUAGCUGACCCAGAACUAUGUAUGAACUUUGAUGCUAAACAAAUGGAAUGCUUGUUAAUGGUUGGACUGUGGUGCGUCCAUCCAGACCAGCAUUUAAGACCAUCUAUAAGGCAAACAAUUCAGGUUUUUAAUUUCGAAGCACCGUUGCCGAAGCUUCCAGGUACGAGGCCAAAUCCCACAUAUGAUGCACAAAUCACUUCAGAAAUUGAAGCAAGUGAGCCAUGUUUUUCUAGUAUGAGUAUUACAGUGCCGCGUUAGACUCAUAUAAUUAUCAUAUACAUAAUAUUCAAAUUUUAAAUUUACACAACAAUGGACAUAGGGCAUAUUUGAGUGUUGGGCUAUUAAUUGGGUCAUGUUUUGGGCUUAGUACUCUCCUAAAUUUUGGACUGUUGUUCCAACAAUUAAUCAACUUUUAAAUACGUCUAAUGGUUGAAUUAAACAAAUUUAAAUUAUCGAUUACAAAAGAACAUAUAAACUUAUAAAACUAAUUUAUUUUUUUUCUUGUUGUAUGUAAUUCUUCCUUUUCAAAUCUAUACUUAUUAUAAAACCUCUUAUUAAAUUGAUGUCACUUUAUAAAAUAAAUUACAUUAUAUUUAGAAUAUUUUUAUCAUUUUAUAUAUUUUUUAUAGAAAAAUAAACACAUAUAAUAAGAUUUUAAGCUCGCAUCUUUUUAUUUUUUUUAAAAAAAAUCAUGUCUCUUUAAAAUUUUUUAGAUUUUUAUAUUACCAUUCAAUCAAAACAUCAUUUAUUGUUUAUAUAUUAUUUUUUAGGAAUAUAUUUAUUAUAUGGUUUAAUUUUUCACCCAACCUAUCAACCAAAAUUCACUAUUCAUGUAUGAAAAUUUCAAAAAUAAUAUUUUUUAAUUUUUAUAUAUUUAGAUUUAAAUUUAAAUAAAAUAAUUUUAAUGAAUAAAUAAAAAUUAAAUCCAGAUCGUGCCUACAGAAAACUUAAAAUUUCCUUAUUCAAGAUCGGGGCUACCAAGCUGCUUAAUCCUUCAAGUAUAAAUAAGGUCCUAUAAUUAUUAAAAUAUUAAAAAAUAAUUUUAUUUUAAUGAUAAUUCAAGUAGAGCUUAGCUCUCCUAAAUGGAAAAAAUCUCUUCCAGACACAACCGAAAGACAAGUCAACAAUUUCUGUAUUACCAAAUAAUAUAGUAUAAAAAUAUUUCAAUUUUUUUUGUUUGGAGGUAACAAUAUUUCAAUUACUAUUCAUAUAUAUGUAUGUAUGUAUAAUAGCUAGUUGGAAUGUAAAACUUUUGCAAGUCAAUUAAUUAGGUCAUUUAUCAUAUCAUUGCCCUCUUUUGUUAACUACUAGUUCAAAAGAUUGAGGAAUAAAUUUGAUUUUAUUUGGGAUUCAUUUUCUACAGUGCUUUAGCUAAUGUUUAAUGAAAUUAAUUGCUUGUUGAUUUAGCUAAUUGCCGGUAGUUUAUGAGUGGCAUUCAAUAUUACUAACUAUAAAUUGCCAUUGAGGUAGUUAAAAGCUCGUCUAAUUUACUUGAAUAAUUUAAUGAAGAAAAUCGUUUAACCUAGUUAUAUGCUAUUUAAUUGAAGAUAUUUUAGUCCCUCUUCUUAGCCUAUUCUAAAAUUGCUCCUGAUAAGAUUUGAAAAAAGAUAACUCAUAUUUUUGCUGAGCUGUAAAAUUGGUUAUUUCAGCUAACUAACUUUAUCCUCUUUAUUACCAAUUUAUGUAUAAAUCUGCUACCCCUACUAUUGACAAAGGCAGACCGGUUAAACGACAUUUCAGCUUACUUCUCUUGUUUGUUGUAUUUUUCUACUCAUGAUACUUGUUUCCUAAUUCCUCUAUGGAAACAAAUUUUUGGGUUUUAGAGAUUGGGUAAAUUAACCCUUCAAAUGUGGAGGAUCGAUUAAGAUUUUGCAAUUGUUUUAGAAGUUAUAUCUUCGAUUGAUUGUAUUUUGAUUAUUAUGAUUGUAUUAACUAUUUUUAAGAAAUUACUUUAUAUUCACUUAAAUUUAAUGUUAGCAAGCCGGAUUGAAUAUAUGAUGAGAGACUUGUAUAGAUUUUGUAUGAAAGUUUAUUGAGUGCAUUCGAAUCUAUUCAUUAAUUAAAUAACAGUUUAUAAGAGAGAGCAAGUUAUAUUGUAAACAUUAUUGAGGGUGUUUGAUGCCUAAGUUCUCAAGGGGGUUUUGGAGGUUAGUAUUCUAGUUCUUGGGUAUAAAUAUGAGAUCUCUAUACUUGGGGAGUGGUGGAGUGUGACUCAUUUUUUAUAUUCGUGUUCAAAGAUAGUAAAAUUACUCACUAAACUAGACUUCGCAAACAUAAGAAAACUGAACUGUGUAAAUAAACCUCGGUGUUAUUUUUAUUUUAUUUGCACGAUUUUUCUCAAUACCAAACCCUAGUGACUACUACAAUCAAGUACUUUCAUUAUAGUUCUGUAUUUCAGCAAAUAAACAGCAUGAAGUAACAACAAGCUUCAAUUUAAAAUCAAUUUAAAAAUACUUUAAAGAAAAUUUGUUUAUAUACCGAUAGUAUUUGAACCUUUCUUAUGAAAUUAAUUUUUUUCUAAUAUUAUAUCAAAUAUUAAAAAAAUAUUCAACUCAAAUUGAAUAUGAGUAUGUAAUUAUUUCUCAAAUUAAAUUUUGACCCUAUUCAUAAACAUUAAUUAGUUUUUUUCUUAAUAAACAUUUUCGGCUUCAACGUAGAAGUAUGGGACCUCCCAUGCAAGAUAUUUUAACAACUUGCUAAUAUAAUAAAGUAUUUUCAUAUCUCAAACUAAAGUGUCCACUCUACCUCUCUUUCUCCAGUUUUCUCCAUAGGCGGCCAGAUAAUUUUCUUCCUCUUGCUUUUUGAUUCAUUUUCAAAGAAACUUCCCAAAAUUUCAUGGUCUAAUAUCUUUAUGAAAAACCCAAUCUUUCAAUCCAUUUUUUGUUCAUUCAAAUCAAGCAAAAAGGAGCUCUAGAAUCCCUCUCCAAAAAUCCAUUAUAGGCUUAUAUAGAUCAAGUUCGGUUCAGGGGAACACAUUUUCCCUAUGACUAUACGGAGAUGAAAAUCUCACGAAGGCAUGGGUACCGAUGUAUCCCGAAAGCAAUCCACUAUCCUAUACGAAGGUGAAAACCUUACGAAGAAAUAGUUUCUCACUCCCACUUAAAAGGACAAAAUCAUUCAACUCAUGUAUAAUGCAAAAAUAACUAAAAUACUUAGAUUGAUUAAGCAAGAAAAUGAUGAAUGCAAAAGGAUCUUAUGAAUUUUUUUUAAAAUUUAUUUUUCGACCAUAAGACAGAAAUUAAUCAACUUUGUGGCUCGGCUCUCUUAUUUUAGUCCCCAGUGGCAUCGCCAAGCUGUCGAAACCAUUUUUUAUUUUGAAAAAAAACUAAAAUUAGUUGUCGACUUUAAAAAAACAAAAAUUGGGAGUCGCCACCAAUCUUUUAUUGAGGUGUGAUUGGAUCACCUAAACAAUAGCUUUGGUCUACGAGUUUUAGAAAAAUGGAUUCAGGAGUCGGUUACAUACAAGGAAGGAUUAGCACCCUCGUAACGCCCAAAAUUGGUACCUAGUUAAUUAAUUAGUGUCUUAAUGUCGAAAAUUUAAAAAUAUGAUCCUUAAUAAAAACUAAAAAACGUUACUUAUUAAGACUCUUACCAUUUCAGAGAAAGAAAAUGUCACACCCAAUGCGUUAGGGCACGACAUUCUAUUUCCUCAAAAAUGAUUUAGUCCAAAAUACUCUUAUAAUAAAAAUUUAAAAGAAUAUCCAUUUAUUUAAGAUUUAAGAAAUCGCGGCCCAAUACGUUAGGGCACAAUUUCUCAAAAUCCUAAACUUGGAAUAUUUCCUUUGUUAUCAUUUUUAAAAAAAAUAUUUGUCUCGAGAAAUCAAUACGUCACAUCCAAUACGUUAGGAUACAACAUAUUAAAUUCCCGACAACAAGCUUUUCAUUUUAUUUUUUGAUUAAUGAGCAACUCUCAAUCGUUAGAUUUAACGAAGAAAAUCGGAACCCAAUACGUUAGGGCUCAAUUUCCUUGAAAAUCCUAAAUACGAGUAUUAUCUCAAUUUUAAAAAUGUUUGAAUAAAAUGAUUUUGAUGUUUGAAUGUUAUCGAAUAUAGCCUUUUAAGCGAAUAAAAUGUGAUAAAUGAUAAUAUACAACAUGAAGUGAUAAUUCGUAAACAAAACAUACACUAAUGAAUGAUAAAUAAUAAAUAAAUUCGAAAGAAAAUACAUAAACCUAUUUAAGAGAGAAUUUAAAGGUAAUAGAUAAAAUAAUAUGAAAUCAAUAAUAUAUAGAAUAAAAAUAAUUUAUUACAAAUUAUAUAUGUAUAUAUAAAAUAGUAUCGUAUAAAAACAUUUUCAUAUAAAUCUUUAAGACAUAUAAAUAUGUAAAAUGAAUUUCGAAAAUAUAUUACAAAAUAGGGAUAUCAAAGACUCUAUACAAAUCAUGUUGAAUUUACCUAAAAUAUAAAAAAGUGUGAUAAAUCGAAAUAAUAGUAAUAUAUAUUGAAUUUCAAAAUAAUGAUACAUUAUAUUUUUUUACAAAGGGUAAUAUAUACAUAUAAUUCAAUAAACUUAUAGCCAUAAUACAUAUAAAACGUAAAAUAAAAUGGAAAAUACUAAGCUUAAUCAUUAAAAUAGUAUUAGAUUCAAAAUUAAAUAUAUUUAAAAAAAAUAGUGGUGUAAGAAAUCAAGCACAUUGAAUUAACAAGGAUUUAAAUUGAACUCCAAACAGAAUUAAAGGAAAAAAAAUGAAGGCCUAAUUAAAAGGCGCGAAUAACUCAUAGGGCUUGAAAGGGGAAAUAUCUCCAUCCUUUGAAAUGCGUCACUUUAUUAGGGCUAAAUAAAUAAAUAAAAUUCGCAAUGGUAUCACCUUCUCCCUUUUUUUAAAAUCGUAAAUAAGUAAAAAAAAAAAUAAUAAGCCACCUUUAAAAAACUGCCAAUCGUUCUCCUUUUUUUUAUUGAUUUUUUUCCUCCCUCCACAAUGAAGGGAGAGGCCUCUAUUUAUAGUUGAGCCUCUCCAAAUCCAACGGUACAGAUCAAUUACAUCAACGACUAAGAUUAAAGGGUAUCUACAAAUUAAAUCUCUAAGAUUACAAAAUCAUAUCUUCCAAGAUUGCAUAUCAUAUCUAAGAUUGCAUAUAUCAGAUCUAAGAUUGCAUAUCCUUGAAGAUAAUGUUUCCAUAAGCUUGUAGAUGGACCUUCAACCUUUUUAAGUAAUGGGUCAUUCCAAUCAGGUCAAAUGAUAUAAUUUUGUACUGGGCUUAGACUUUAUUUUAUUAUUGUAAGCCCGGGCUAAAAUUGGGUAUUACAAGGAGGGUUUGGUGUAGUUUAUAAAGGGUACUUGAAGGACUUGGAUACUUAUGUUGCUGUUAAACGGAUUUCAAAGGCCUCUAAGCAAGGAAUUAAGGAAUAUGCAUCUGAAGUGAAGAUUAUUAGCCGAUCAAGGCACAAGAAUCUUGUGAAGCUUAUUGGCCAGUGUCAUGAAAAAGGAGAACUUAUACUUGUUUAUGAGUUCAUGGCUAAUGGCAGCCUAGAUUCCCAUCUUUUUAAAGGUAAAACCUUAUUGACUUGGGAAGUGAGAUUUAAAAUUGUGCAGGACCUGGCAUCAGCACUAUUCUAUCUACAUGAAAAGGGUGACCAUUGCGUACUACACAGAGAUAUCAAAGCGAGCAACAUUAUGUUAGAUUCUAGUUUCAAUGCUAAACUUGGGGAUUUCGGACUUGCUAGGCUAGUGGAUCAUGCAAAAGCGUCACAAACCACCCAUUUAGCUGGGACUAUGGGCUAUUUGGCACCUGAAUGCGUUUCAUCGGGAAAGGCUAGCAAGGAAUCGGAUGUCUACAGUUUUGGAGUUGUGGCAUUGGAGAUUGCAUGUGGCAGAAGAUCAAUAGAGCCCAAAUAUGAAGAAUCUCAAGCUUCGUUGGUAACCUGGGUGUGGAAUGCUUAUGGAAGCCAACGGUUGCCUGAUGUAGCUGACCCAAAACUAUGUAUGAACUUUGAUGCUAAACAAAUGGAAUGCUUGUUAAUGGUUGGACUGUGGUGCGUCCAUCCAGACCAGCAUUUAAGACCAUCUAUAAGGCAAACACUUCAGGUUUUUAAUUUCGAAGCACCGUUGCCGAAGCUUCCAGGUACGAGGCCAACUCCAACAUAUGAUGCACAAACCACUUCAGAAAUUCAAGCGAGCCAUGUUUUUCGGGUAUGAGUAUUACAGUCCCGCGUUAGACUAAUAUAAUUAUCACAUACAUAAUAUUCAAAUUGAUAAAAGAUGUCUAUUUACAAUAAUAUAUAUAUAUAUAUCAAUACAUAUUUUAAAUUUUAAAUUUACACAACAAUGGACAAUGAUCAAAAAUAUGGCCGAAUAUUUGCUUGCCCGAAAAAACGAAAAUACCCAAAAGGCAGACCCAAUCUGCCAUAGUUUUGUCAUUAAAAAUAAAUAGAAUUUAACAUGGGGCAUAUUUGAGUGUUGGGCUAUUAAUUGGGUCAUGUUUGGGGCUUAGUUUUUUUAUUCAAAACUCUCCUAAAUUGUGGACUAUUGUUCCAACAAUUAAUUCAACCUUUAAAUACGCUAAUGGUUGAAUUAAACAAAUUUAAAUUAUCGAUUACAAAAGAACAUAAAAACUUAUAGAACUAAUUUAAUUUUUUCUUAUUGUAUGUAAUUCCACCUUUUCAAAUCCAUAUUUAUCAUAAAAUCUCUUAUUAAAUUGAUGUCAUUUUAUAAAAUAAGUUGUAUUAUAUUGAGAGUGUUUUUUUUUUAUAUUUUUUAUAUAGAAAAAUAAACAGAUAUAACCAAAGUACUUAAACUCGCAUCUCUUUAAUUUAAAAAAAACCAUAUCUCUGUUUUUUUUUUAGAUUUUUAUUUUACCAUUCGAUCAAAAUUACGUUUAUAUAGUUUUUUUUUAUGAAUAUAUUUGGUUUAAGUUUUCACCCAACCUAUCAACCAAAAUUCACUAUUUUUAUAUGAAAAUUUUAAAACAAAUUAUAUAUUUAGAAUUAAAUUUAAAUAAUUAAUAAAUAAAAAUUAAAGCCAGAUCGUGCCUACACAAAAUUAAAAUUUCCUUAUUCAAGAUCGGGCCUACCAAGCUGCUUAAUCCUUCAAGUAUAAAUAAGGUCCUAUAAUUAUUGAAAUAUUAAAAAAUAAAUUUAUUUUUAAUGAUAUUUAUAUUUUAAAGCCAACUUUGAAUGAAAUUAAUUUAUUGAUAAUUCAAGUGGAGCUUAGCUCUCCUAAAUGGAAAAAUCUAGCUUCCAGACACAACCGAAAGACAAGUCAACUAUUUCUCCACUACCAAAUACUAUAGUAUAAAAAUAUUUCAAUUUGUUUUUGAAGGUAACAAUAAUUCAAUUACUAUUCAUAUAUGUAUGUAUGUAUGUAUGUAUGUAUAAUAGCUAGUUGGAAUGUAAAACUUUUGCAAGUCAAUAGACAUUCUCAUGCUAUCACCCUAAUAUUAAUUACGUCAUUUAUCAUAUCAUUGCCCUCUUGUGUUGACUAUUAGUUCAAACGAUUGAGGACUAAAUUUAAUUUUAUUUUGGAUUCAUUUUCUACGGUGCUUUGGGCGUAUGAUUGAGAUUCUAAAUCUUAGAGCUUUAGCUAAUGUUUAAUGAAAUUGAUUGCUUUUUUUUGGGGGGGGGGGCGGUUUGGGUGUUGAUUUAGCUAUUCGUUUAUCGUUUUGAUUUUAUGAGUGACAUUUAUGGUAUCAACUAUAGAUUGUCAUUGAGGUGGUUAAAACUGUCUUAUUUGCUUUAAUUAUUUAAUGAAGAAAAUCGUGGUUAUGUAUUGUUUUGAAGAAAUUUUGGUCCUCUUGUUAGCAUAUUCUAAAAUUGUUCCUGAUCAGAUUUGAGGUUCUGGAUAAUUCAUCAUUUUUGCUGAGCUGUAGAAUUGGUUAAUUGUAGAAUUGAUUAUUUCAGCUAACUAACUUUAUCCUCUUUAUUACCAAUUUAUGUAUAAAUCUGCUACCCCUAUACUAUUGAAAAAGGCAGACUGGUUAAAUGACAUUUCAGCUUACUUUUCUUGUUUGUUGUAUUUUUCUAAUCAUAAUACUUGUUUUCUAAUUCCUCUAUGGAAACAAAUCUUUGGGUUUUAGAGAUUAGAUUGGAUUCAAGUGAACCAAAUCAAUCCUUGGAAUGUGGGGGAUUGAUCAAGAUUAUGUAGCUAUUUAGAAGUCAUAUUUUCGAUUGAUUGUAUUUAGAUUAUUAUGAUUGUAUUAGCUAUUUUUAAGAAGUUACUUUGUAUUCACUUAAAUUUAAUGUUAGCAAGCCGAAUUAAAUAUAUGAUGAGAGGCUUGUAUAGAUUUUGUAUAAAAGUUUAUUGAGUGCAUUCAAAUCUAUCCAUUAAAUAAUAGACGUUUUAUGAGAGAGCAAAUUAAUAUUGUAAACAUUAUUGAGGGUGUAUGAUGCCCAAGUUCUCAAGGGGGAUUAUUAUAGUUUUAGGUACAAAUAUGAUUUCUCUAUACUUGGAGAGUGGAGUGUGAAUCAUUUGUUGUAUUCGUGUUCAAAGAUAGCGAAAUUACUCACUAAACUAGGCUCCGCAAAUAUCGAGAAAUCGAAUUGUGUAAAUAAACCUCUAUGUUAUUUUUAUUUUAUUUGCACGAUUUUUCUUAAUGCCAAGUCCUAGUGACUACUACAAUCAAAUACUUUCAUUAUAGUUUUGUAUUUCAGCAAAUAAACAACAAGAAGUAACAACAAGCUCCAAUUUAAAAUCAAUUUAAAAAUACUUUAAAGAAAAUUUGUUUAUAUACCAAUAGUAUUUGAACCUUUCUUAUGAAAUUAAUUUUUUCUAAUAAUGUAUCAAAUAUUAAAAAAAUAUUCAACUCAAAUUGAAUAUGAGUAUGUAAUUAUUUCUCAAAUUAAAUUUUGGCCCUAUUCAUAAACAUUUAGUUUUUUUCUUAAUAAACAUUUUCGGCUUCAACGUAGAAGUAUGGGACCUCCCAUGCAAGAUAUAUAUUUUAGCAACUUGCUAAUAUAAUAAAGUAUUUUCAUUUGCAAAGUCAUACAAAACAUCCAGUCACACUACAAUAAUUGAACAUUUCAUAUAUCUCAAACUCUACCUCUCUUUUUCCAUUUUUCUCCAUAGGCGGCCAGAUAAUUUUCUUCCUCUUGCUUUUUGAUUCAUUUUCAAAGAAACUUCCCUAACUUUCAUAGUCUAAUAUCUUUAUGAAAAACCCAAUCUUUCAAUCCAUUUUGUGUUCAUUCAAAUCAAGCAAAAAGGAGCUCUAGAAUCCCUCUCCAAAAAUCCUCCAACAUGUUCAUUCAUCGACUCCUUUUUGCUUCAAUAUUCAUAGUGUGUUGCCUCACAACGCUUACAAAUGGAGCUUCACUUCCAAAUGGUGAAGGUAAUUCAUAAUAUUACUCUACAAAGAAGCUUGAUUUGCUUAAUUAUUUUUUUUAAUAAAUUUCAGUACCCUUUUUCUUUUGUUAUAGUGGAAGCUUUGAGAAGUAUUGGUAACACAUUGGGGAAGACAGACUGGAACUUUAAUAUUAAUCCAUGCGAUCAAGGCGAUACUUGGUUGAACCAAUCCACACGUUAUUAUGCUAAUAAUGUUACUUGUGAUUGCUCCUUCAANNNNNNNNNNNNNNNNNNNNNNNNNNNNNNNNNNNNNNNNNNNNNNNNNNNNNNNNNNNNNNNNNNNNNNNNNNNNNNNNNNNNNNNNNNNNNNNNNNNNAAGUAUAUACAUAUUAUAAUGAAAAUUUAUCCAUCAUUGAGUUGUGACCAAACUUGAUACAUCUAUUCAUGGAUUAUAUAUAGUUUUAGAUCUCAUCUAAAGUUUACUAAAAGUGAGAGAGAGGCAUGAUACAAAUAUGAGAUAGAGAUAUAUAAUAAUUUUGUCUUUGAAAUUGUCCAUUUGUACCUAGUUGGUCCUUAAAACUUUUUUGAACUUAGUUGAUCCCUGAACAUGUAUUUCAUCAAUCAGGUUAGUCCCUCUACACUAGUACCAUUAGUUUGUGCUACUGUGACAUUUUAGCCAAGGACGAAGCUAGAAAUUAUUUUAGGGAAGGCCAAAAUUAAAUGUUAAUUUUUAUGAUAGUAGAAAUGUAAUUUCACCAUUUGAAUAGUCUAUAUCUUUAUAAUUUUUAAAGAAUUAAAUUAAUUUUUUAUAAUUUUGUGGGGUUAAAGUGUAAUUUUACCUUUAUUAAUUUAAAAUUUAAAUAAUCUAAAGGGCUUAAAUGAAAAAUUUUCUAUUUUAGGGAGGUCAGGGCACGACCAACCUCCCUAACUAUGCCCCUAUUUCUAGCCAAUCUGGUAGGAGCACAUAGUAACCUCUCAAACAUAAUUUAUAUUUCUUAGCUUAUGUUUAUCAUGUGACAAAAAUUAUAAUAAUUAAACUACAAAUAUUAAAAUUAAAAAAUAAAAAAAAUAAAUUUUUAACUUUUAACAUAAAAAAAAUUGAAUCUCAAAUUUUAUAGAAAUACAAGUACUAACUUCAUAUAAUUUGUUAAUAUGUUUUAGGGUUAAAGAGGUUACGAGAGUACAAUCUGUAUAAUUUUGGUUAGCAGCCUCAAUUAAAUCUUUUGUCUUUGUUCAAGAUUUCCUUUUUUGAAUGGGUUAUGACGACUUUUGAAUUUUCUAAACACGUACAAAUGUUAAAUAAUAUUUAUGAGAGCUACUUGCUUGCACGGUUUUAUGUAAUUCUUUUAAUGAAAGCGAAUAGGAUGUCUUAAUGAUUUUAAAGAUAUUAUUAUUUAAUUAUUCAUGCAAUAAAUGUCAAAUCAAAGUGCAUGAAAUGAGCUGACAGGCGUGGCAAGCUAGUACAAUUAAUUUAGGACCCACUGCUGGCUAUUCAAUGGAGUCGCCAUCGCAUGUCGGUCCAACCUUUUCUAUAUAAUUAAUAAAUUAAUAACAACCAAUUCUAUAUAAUUACAAUUAAAAGAAAUCCAAUUCCACUCAUCAAUUCUUUAAUGAUUUUAAAUGUAAAUAAAUUAUUAAAACUAUUUUAUAUAUUUUCAAUGCAAUAAAUGUCAAAUCAAAGUCCAUGAAAUGAGCCGACAGGAGUGGCAAGUGGAUGACAAUUAAUUUAAGAGCCACUGCUGCCUAUUCAAUGGAAUCGCCAUCGCAUGUCGGUCCAACCUUUCGUUGGCCGCCAAUGUCUCUUUCUUCUGAAAAAUGCCUUAACAAGAUACUAUCCAAUUUUAGCCUUUUACUUUAUUGUUAAUACAUAUUCACGCAUAUACAUAUAUUAGCUUUUUCAGUCUACGACUAAUUUCAUCAUACUUAUUUAAAAUGGAUUAAUUCAAUCGAAUUAAAUUAUUGAUUUAGAUAUUUGUAUUAAAUUAAUUGACUCAAGAUUCAGUGACUAUAGUUUGAAUUGAUUUUUUUUACUUUUUUAUUUAUUUAAUUAGAUCGUAUGAAUUGGCCGAAUUAAAAAAUUAAUAACUUGACUAAGUCGAGUAAUGACUUAAUUCUAAAAAUCUUAAAUGUCACAGAAGUAGCACUUGAUUUUAUGUAUUUAACAUUUUAUUUAAAUAAUAUAUUUAUACUUAUUGUAAUUGGUUUUUUAAUACAUUAAUUAAAAUGUUGAACAUAAUUAAUAGAUAUUAAUUUAUUUAAUAAUUUAAAUAUGAUAAAAAAUUUUGAAUUAUAAUUAGAACAUUUAUAUUAUAUUAAAAAUGAUAUAUUUUAAAUUGAUAAUUUUUAAUAAUAAUAAAAUUAAAAAUCAUAAUUAAAAUAUUUGUACUAUAUUUAUAUUCGAUAUACAAUAUAAUUUUAUUUCAUUAAUUAAUUCAAAAUAAUAUUAUUCAAAUAAUAACCAACAUAUAUAUAUACUUGCUUUUUUAUUAUAUGACUAAUAUAAAUGUUCUUUUAAUAGCUUAAUUUGAAAUUUACAUAUAAUAAUUAUUUAGAUUUUUCCUUUUUGCUUGAGAUCCAGAAGCAGGCAGGAUCUUCGCUCCAUUACUUAAAUAAAAAUAUGAUUUUUUUAAUCUCUUAGAAUUAAAAAAUUUUAAUUUAAAUAUUUUUAAUCCUUAUAAACUAAAUAAAAAAAUGCUUAAGAUUUUUUUUAACUUUCAAAAGAAUCUCAAAUUUUUUUAUCUAAAAAUAUUUUAAUUUUUCAAAAUAUUUACUAAAACAAAUCUGAUAAUUAAUUCUCUGUAUUAUGUAGAUUCACGAUUUUAAACAAGAUUAAAAAGAUGAUUAAUGUUAAAAAAUUAUGACUUUUGAGUACCGAGUUUUUACCAAGCAGAUAUUGAUUCUGAAUGUGAAUUUUUUUUAUUGUAGAUUUUAGCAACAGACCCCUAACUUAGUUUCUGUAUCAGAUUGCUUAAGGCUCAAAAUCUCUCGGGGACUCUCCCACUAAACUUGACAAGUCUCCCUUACUUGCAAGAAAUGUAAGCACAUUUCAAGUGUUCCUCCAUUCUGAUAUAUAUAAAUGAAGAUUCUUUGUUUUUCAGCAACUAUAUAUCUACUAAUUUGUUGUUUUAAAACUACUAUUACAGUGACCUAACUCGCAACUAUCUUAAUGGCACCAUUCCUUCAGAAUGGGGUUCUGCUACCCGACUCGUCAGCAUGUAUGUUUUCUCCUACUUUCUCUUUCAUGGUUGUAUGUAUAUAUCUUUCAUGGUUUUGAAAUAAUUUCUCGUAACUACAAUAUGUACGCAUGUAUAUGUAAAUGUUGCUAAAUGCAAAAGAUUUGUUGUAUUCCAGUUCACUUCUUGGAAAUCGAUUAACAGGUUCAAUCCCAAGAGGACUAGCAAAUCUCAGAAAUCUUACCAGCUUGUGAGUUAUAUUAUGGCAAUUUCUUUUAUAGUUUUACAUAAUUUUUUUUCCAUUUUUUAAUGAAGGUCUAAUGGAUAAUUAAAUUUAUUUAUUGAAACAUCAUUGUGUAGAGUCCUUGAGAACAAUCGUCUUUCAGGAACUUUGCCUGCAGCACUAGGGAAUCUACCCAAAAUUGAGCGACUGUAAGAGGGACUUUUUUGUUUCUUCUUAAUUCCAGCUGAAUUUCAUUUCAUUACAUGCAGUAGUUUUAUUAUAUAAAUUAUUUAAUAUCUAUUUACUGGUUUCUUCAGGCAUCUUAGUUCCAACAAUUUUACUGGUGAAAUACCUGAAAUGUUUGCUAACCUAACUUCAUUGAAGGAAUUGUAAGCAAUUCUAAUUUCCAUAUACGAAUGAAUAUUUUAUAUAUCUCAUGUCUGAAUAUAUCUUCAAAUAAAGUUCUUAUUAUACAUAUCAUUUGGAAUUUUUAAUAUAUUUUAUAUGCCAUAGUUAUGAUAAUUUUGUUCUCUCAACAGUCGGAUUAGUGACAACAACUUUACAGGACAGAUUCCUGACUUCAUAUUCCGAAAUUGGACAAAUCUUGAACAGAUGUGAGAAUUAUAAUUAUAAGAUUUUGAUGCAUUUUGUAAGUCUAUAUUUUUCAUUAGAAAUAUUUUUAUUUUAUUAAUCAAUUAAAUGAAUUCUUCUUUCCUAAUGACAGAUAUAUAGAGGCAAGUGGUUUGAUUGGGCCAAUUCCAUCCAUUAAUGCUACUUUAGAAAACUUAGAAUACAUGUAAGCUCCAAUGAUCUUAAAAGGUGGUGACAAUAUUCAUUACAUAAAAAUAAACACAACUUAAUUUCUUAUUUAUGUUUGUAUAUGGUUCUUGAUAUUGUUUUACAGAAUAAUUAGUGACUUGAAUGGAGCUAACACAACUUUUUCACAAUUGGUCAUCGAUGCCACUUUGCCUAAAUUGGAUAGAUUGUAAGCAUGAACUCUGGAAUAAAGCAAAGAUUUUUGGAAGUUAUGAGAUAUUGUGGAGUUCUAAAAGAAUAAUGGAAUUAUUUUGUGAUUGAAUUAUAGCAUGUUGAGGAGUUGCAAUCUCAUUGGAGAGAUACCUGCUUCUUUUGGGACAUUUACAUCCAUAAAGAUAUUGUAAGUAAUUACACUUUCUUUUGAGAGGUUCAAGUUCAGUUUGAUUGUAGACUUACGUGUGGUUUAAUACCCGUUUUACAAAUUUUCUUGCAGAGAUCUCAGCUUUAAUAGACUUAGUGGAAAAAUUCCAGAUGAGCUUUCUAAUCUUGAUUUCGAUAAUAUGUAAGGAUAUGGCUUUUAGUUGUAGUGUGUAAAUUGCAUUUUCUUUAUUUAUAUACUCAUUUGGAUUUUAUUAGGUUCUUAAAUGGAAACAAUUUUAAUGGAUCAGUCCCUCAAUGGAUACUCGAUACAAGAGAAAAAGUGUAAGAUUCUCUUUCUUAUUUAAAUGCUCAAUCUCAUUGAUUAUAGUUUGAUUAACCAAAAUCAAAAUUAUUGCACAAAGAUAUUUAAUUACUAUUUAUUGAUUCUCCUACAUUAAUUAGUAGUUAAAGAUUUGAUCUUCUCGCUGUAUAUGAAGUAGUUUUAUAACUCGCGUCCGGCAUCUAUCUUCUUAGUGAACAUACAAAUAAAAGGGAUUAAUCAGUGACUUGCUAGAUAUUGAAAAUAAUACUCUAAAUGCAGGGAUCUUUCUUAUAACAACUUCACAAACACAGGUGUAUCAGAUUGCCGACAAAAUAGCGUGUACGACAACUUCCUCAUCCAACUUCAUUACUGCAUCUUUCUUAUAAAAUAUCAAUCAUUUUUUUGUUAUAAUUUUUCCUCCAUUAUCGACCUGUAGGAACUUGUUCUCAAGCAUUGCAAGAGUCAAUAACACGUAAGUAUUAAGACAACAACAAUCAUUAAACUAAGUCUUUGUCUUUCAUCUAACUUUAUAAUUGUUUUAUCAGGGGAAUUGUUCCAUGUUUGACUAGCCAAAUUACCUGCCCAUCAGAACGUAAGUAUUUAUAUAUAUUUGAUGCACUAAUAAUAUAACUCAAUUAUUUUAUUCAAACUGUUGUUGAUUGUUAUUUCCUCAGUUUUGCAAUUUGUCCAUAUAAACUGUGGAGGGAGAGAAAUAACUGUUAAUGACACCAUUUAUGAAGCCGAUUACGAUGGAGCCGGGCCUUCGACAUUUUACCGAAGUACCAACUGGGCAUUUAGCAGCACCGGAAUUUUUCUAAGCGAUGACCGCCCCGACGACAUCUUAGUUUUGGACAAUAGACAAGUGUCUGUCGAUGGCGAUGAAAAACAACUCUACGAAAGUGCAAGGCUUGCGCCUAGCUCUUUGACAUACUAUGCAUUUUGUCUCGCCAAUGCAACUUACUCAGUAAACCUCCAUUUCGCUGAGAUUCAGUUCACUAAUGAUCGAAAUUAU
rnacentral:lncRNA from 1 species